rnacentral:lncRNA from 1 species
CUUUUUUUUUUUUUUUUUUUUUUUUUUUUUUUUUUUUNCUUCUGUGGCAUAUGGAGGCCUCCAGGCUAGGGGUCUAAUUGGAGCUAUAGCCACAGGCCUACGCCAGAGCCACAGCAAAGCAGGAUCCGAGCCGCAUCUGCAACCUACACUACAGCUCACAGCAACGCCGGAUCCUUAACCCACUGAGCAAGGGCAGGGACCGAACCCGCAACCUCAUGGUUGCUAGUCGGAUUCGUUAACCACUGCGCCACAACGGGAACUCCAGAACCAUGAUUCUUAACGUUGAUAACCUGUCAAAACCAUAUGAUGUACACUGAAAUAAUAUCUGCCUUUUAUUGAUCACGUGCCAAGCACUAUGCAUCUAUUGUGCCAAAUUGUGCAAAGCAAGUAUUAACACUGCAUUUCCAUUUUUAUGAUUGGGGAAGAUAAGGAAUAAAAAGUUCAAGUCAGCUGCUAAGAUUUCACAUAGCUAAUUGUCUAGGUUGGGAUUUGAAUUUAGAUCCAUGUAACACUUAAGACUGAACUCCUGCCCCCGACCCCCACAUACCCUCCUGCUCUGCCACUCUGUAAGACACAAUAAAUUUUUUUAAAAUUUUUAGGUCAUUUCUAAGAUCCAAAGAAAUACAAAUGAAGGCAGUAGUAGUAGGCUAACUAUGGCCAUCAGGGACUACAAAAUUCUACCUCAGUUCAGGUUAUAUUUUCCCACAAAUGUUAAUGAAAAGUACCUGCCAUGUGUAAAGCCCUGGGCCUUGAGGCAGAAGGACAGAAAAGUCAUAAUUCUUGCCUUCUAAGAGUCUGUAAUCUAACUGAACAGGCUUGGAAGAAAGUUAAGUAAUAACAGUGAUAAGUAACUAAAUACAACAGUAAAAGUGAUAUCAUGAAUGAAUACACAAUUGAAACUGAGAAAAAGGAGACAUCAUAUGGUCUGGAAAGGUUCAGGAAGACUUUCUGGAGAAGGAAGGAUUUAAGCUGUUUCUUAGGGAUUGAAAAGACCUGGGCAAAGAGGGAAAAAAAGGGUAUUGUAUUCCAAGAGGAGAAAUGGGGGAACAAAAAUACCACUGUAAGCCUGCUGCUUGGAGCUGAAGGUUAGAGAGCAUGAAUAAUGUGAGGCAGCUAGAAAGGGAAGCUAGAGUCCGAAUGUUGGAAACUGAAAGGUUGGUUAGGUAAACUGGAUUUUUAAUACCAUGGGCAGUGGGGAUCCAGGAAUGUUUCUGAGCCAGGAAAUCACAUGAUCCUAGUGGUGUUCUAGGAAGACUUCUCUGGCAGGAAGAUUGCUGAGGAGCAGAAGGAAGGCAGGAAUACCAGUUAGGAGUUGACUAGAGGAGCAGUUCAGAUAGCAGAUAGAAGCAGAGGAAAAAAAGAAGUUAUUUCUGCUGCUAUAGAUACAGAAAGAUUUGAGCUUGGGUCUUGCUGGAACUGAUUUAAUUAAAUGGAAAUUUGGGAAAAAUAAAGCACAAAGAACUUUGGAUAGGUUUAUGGUUCAAUUAAGAAUUAUUUUUAACUUUACAGUUUUGUAUAAAUUUACAAGUUACAUAGUAUUUUCAUAUAUAUUCAUUCAUUUAUCCUCAUGACACCACUAGAUAUAUUUGGUACUGUUUCCAUUUUUCAGAUACUGAAAUUCAAGUUUGAAGCCCUGCAGUUACUAACACAAGGCCACACUGUUAGCACAUUUUGGGGCUGAGACCUGCAUAUAACAGGCUUCUGAUUCCAUAUUCCAUGUAUCUACUAUUUACUACGCUAAUAUAAAAAUUUAUUUUCAAUUUUGGAGGCUCAACAUGUUUAGUUUCUUUUUUUAAAUGGAAAAUUUAAACAUACACAAAAGUAGGGAGAAUAGUAUUAUGAACUCCUGUGUGCCUACCACCUAGAUGUAUCAAUGAUAAACUCAAAACCAACCUAGUCUCAUCUACACUCUAUCUACCCCUGAUUACUUGAAGCAAAUUCUCCAACUCACAUCAUGAUUCUUUUACAUUUAAGGUCCAGCUGGUGUUUUAAAGAAUUCAAAAUCAGUUGUAUUCCUUACAAAUAUUUUCUAUCUUUAGCUUUAACUGAAAAACAGAGGAGGCUGUAUGUUGCCUUGCAGAGGACUUUUUUUCUUACCAAGAUAUGAGAAAGUGAAAAGCAAAACAAUUGACCCCUUUCUCAGAAGAAUUUCCUGGGAAUUUCAUUUUUUCAAGCUACCUCUGGUACAUGAAAAGUGAAAUAUAUUUCUUUUGUUCUCCUGACUCCCAUUCUGUAACCUUCUUAUUUCUAAGCUGGAGUGAUACACGAGGUGCUUGUAGCUUUCCUAAAGGUGGUUUUAAUAGAAUGCCUUGCAUCUACCUACCUUAUUUUACUGUGUCUGAAUGUGUAUGAAAUGUGCAGGGUAAUUUCGCUGGCUAAGGAAAAUUGUUUUUCUUUCUGUACUCCAAGGGGAAAAUAUUCCUGUGUUUAACAAGUUUUUCCUAAAAUUGCAAAAAGACUUCUUUUGCUAAGAACAUAAUCAUUUCACAAUCACUUAUUCUUACAUUGCUUAGAAAAAAUUCUAUUUAGAAUUUUAAAGUUAAGGAGUUCCUGUCGUGGCUCAGUGGUUAAUGAAUCUGACUAGGAACCAUGAGGUUGCAGCUUUAUUCUUGCAUUUAGGUCUUUCCUUUCUCUGGGCUAAACACCCUCCCCUCCCUGACCUUCAUUUGUUCAUCUGUUUGUUCAUUUACUUAUCAGACAGCUCACUAUUUAUUCAUUUAUUCAUUAGAUAUUUAAUGAGUGCCUGCCACUGGCCUUACACAGUGCUAGAUACAACACUGUAUAAUACAAUGGUGAGCAAGAUUUGUCUGUGGUCUACUAGGAGGAGCCAGACAAAUAAAGGGGCACCUUCAAUGCAGUGUGGUAAGUGGAACAGUAAGGGCACGUGAUAUGGUGCUAUGAAAGCACAGAAGAGGGUCCCCUGGCCAAAGUGGGAGAUAAGGAAGAAAGCCUUCCCAUAGGAAAUAAAAUCUAAGAUGAAUCCUUAAGGGUGAAUGGGAGUUGGCCAAAUGAAAAGGGUCAUAGAAAGCAUUCUAGGAAGAGAACAGCAUGAGCAGGAUCUAGGAGCAUAGAAAUCUCCAAUGGUCAACUUCUUUUACUGUCUCUUUUUGGUCUCCUGUCCACUUGCCCAGAAAUCACAUUGUACAUGUUCAUUUAAUUCUCUAGCUCUCCUCUUUCUGACCAAGUUAGUGUAAGUACAGACCACUUGCUUUUUGUGCCUUAGAAUGGUCCUAUUCCUGCCUUUACCUUCUCUUUUCUUGUGAGAAAGCACUGGAGUUAGUUCAGUCCCAUGACCAUUCUGGCAUCUAUAAGCCUUUCAGGGGAAGGACCAUGGCAUCUUCAUCCUGACAAUGUAGGUCCCUGACACAUGCUUGGCAUACAGUUGGCACUCAGCAAAUGUUUAAAGUAUUGAGAAACAAAACUGAAAUGUUUACAAACCCUAAUAUUCAUGAGGAAUAUUUGGUAAGACAUAACCAGAUCCAUGUAGCUCUCGGACUUAGAAAUCACAGAAAGCCUCUUUUAUAGUCAACAGAAAUUCAACUUUUUAAUCAGAAUCAAUUAGUGCAUUUGGCCUGAGAAAUUAUUAUGUGCUGAUCCCUUUCUUUGCUCAAAGCAAGCUCACAGAACAAUGACCAAGGCUCUUGUGCCUUCUGACAACCAUCUCCCAGAGUUGCUGAGCAAUCUGUCAAGGUGCCUGCUACCUCAAAGGUGAGAACUCCAGGCUACCCAGGUUCUGCCUAGCGAUGUGGAAUUGUCUCUCUCUUUGAAUGUGCUCAGUUGGAACAC